GAUGAACGCUGGCGGCGUGCCUAACACAUGCAAGUCGAGCGAGAAGUUUGAAAAAUGAGUUUUCGAACAAGUGAUUCAAACGGAAAGCGGCGGACGGGUGAGUAACGCGUAGGCAACCUGCCCCGUGCAGAGGGACAGCCUCGGGAAACCGGGAUUAAGACCUCAUGAUAUCGGGUUAUCACAUGGUAAUCCGGUCAAAGAUUUAUUGGCAUGGGAUGGGCCUGCGUCUGAUUAGCUGGUUGGUGGGGUAACGGCCUACCAAGGCGACGAUCAGUAGCAGAACUGAGAGGUUCAUCUGCCACAUUGGAACCUGAGACACGGUCCAAACUCCUACGGGAGGCAGCAGUGAGGAAUAUGCACAAUGGGCGAAAGCCUGAUGCAGCAACGCCGCGUGAGCGAAGAAGGCCUUUGGGCGUAAAGCUCUGUCCUUGGGGAAGAAACAAAUGACGGUACCCUUAGGACGGAAGCCCCGGCGUAACUACGUGCCCGAGCCAGACCGCGGUAAAACGUA
rnacentral:rRNA from 1 species